AGCAGCAGUGGGGAUAUUGCACAAUGGGGGAAACCCUGAUGCAGCCAUGCCGCGUGUGUGAAGAAGGCCUUCGGGUUGUAAAGCACUUUCAGUAGGGAGGAAAGGUAGCAGCUUAAUACGCUGUUGCUGUGACGUUACCUACAGAAGAAGGACCGGCUAACUCCGUGCCAGCAGCCGCGGUAAUACGGAGGGUCCGAGCGUUAAUCGGAAUUACUGGGCGUAAAGCGUGCGCAGGCGGUUUGUUAAGCGAGAUGUGAAAGCCCCGGGCUCAACCUGGGAAUUGCAUUUCGAACUGGCGAACUAGAGUCUUGUAGAGGGGGGUAGAAUUCCAGGUGUAGCGGUGAAAUGCGUAGAGAUCUGGAGGAAUACCGGUGGCGAAGGCGGCCCCCUGGACAAAGACUGACGCUCAGGCACGAAAGCGUGGGGAGCAAACAGGAUUAGAUACCCUGGUAGUCCACGCCGUAAACGAUGUCUACUCGGAGUUUGGUGUCUUGAACACUGGGCUCUCAAGCUAACGCAUUAAGUAGACCGCCUGGGGAGUACGGCCGCAAGGUUAAAACUCAAAUGAAUUGACGGGUCCCCC
rnacentral:rRNA from 1 species